AUUGAACGCUGGCGGCAGGCCUAACACAUGCAAGUCGAGCGGAUGAAGGGAGCUUGCUCCUGGAUUCAGCGGCGGACGGGUGAGUAAUGCCUAGGAAUCUGCCUGGUAGUGGGGGAUAACGUCCGGAAACGGGCGCUAAUACCGCAUACGUCCUGAGGGAGAAAGUGGGGGAUCUUCGGACCUCACGCUAUCAGAUGAGCCUAGGUCGGAUUAGCUAGUUGGUGGGGUAAAGGCCUACCAAGGCGACGAUCCGUAACUGGUCUGAGAGGAUGAUCAGUCAAACGGGAACUGGAGCCGGGUCCAGCCUCCUAGGGGAGGCAGGAGUGGGGAAUAUGGGAAAAGGGGGGAAAGCCUGAUCCAGCCAGGCCGGGUGGGUGAAGAAGGUCUUCGGAUUGUAAAGCUCUUUAAGUUGGGAGGAAGGGCAGUAAGUUAAAACCUUGCUGUUUUGACGUUACCAACAAAAUAAGCACCGGCUAACUUCGU
rnacentral:rRNA from 1 species